GCAGCAAUGACAGGGUUUUAUGGCUGAGACUUCUGAGCCUCUAGACCGACAUGGGAGGUCCCAAGUAGGCUAAAGGUGUCUGCCUGCCAACCCCUUAACAAGUAACUCAAGCAAGAAGCUUGUUAUUAGCCGAGAGGAGUCAAACUGUCCCGUAAUUCAGUCACCUGCGCGGAACAAGUCCCACCCGGCGCAGGUGUGCUCUUGAGUUGAAGAGUCCCGAGGUGACCCCAAUAGGAAUUAGGAAUGGAGGUCACUCAGAUACAUAGGAUGACAGCAGUAUGGCCUGAAUUGUAACAGGAAGUUCAAGUGCCUCCGGACCCCUCAGAAAGUAGUUAAACUAGCUUGCUACAUACAACUUGUUACUCCUGAGCUGUACCUCUGCCUUACAAGAUGUGCGGAAGAACCACACAGACCUUAAUUAAGCGUUUGCACUACCAAAGACAGAUGGCUGAGUACCAGGUGUUUUGCAAAGCUGAAC
rnacentral:lncRNA from 1 species